CACGUAGGGGGCAAGCGUUGUCCGGAUUUAUUGGGCGUAAAGAGCUCGUAGGCGGCUCGGUAAGUCGGGUGUGAAAUUUCGAGGCUCGAACCUCGAAACGCCACCCGAUACUGCUGUGGCUAGAGUCCGGUAGGGGAGCGUGGAAUUCCUGGUGUAGCGGUGAAAUGCGCAGAUAUCAGGAGGAACACCAGCGGCGAAGGCGGCGCUCUGGGCCGGUACUGACGCUGAGGAGCGAAAGCAUGGGGAGCGAACAGG
rnacentral:rRNA from 1 species